UACUUUAAAGCGCGGGCCAAAAUGAAAUU
rnacentral:sRNA from 1 species